UACGAAGGGGGCUAGCGUUGUUCGGAAUUACUGGGCGUAAGGGCGCGUAGGCGGCCUCGUCCGUCCGGCGUGAAAUGCCUGGGCUCAACCUAGGAAUUGCGCUCGAUACAGCGAGGCUAGAGUGUGGGAGAGGUUGGUGGAAUUCCCAGUGUAGAGGUGAAAUUCGUAGAUAUUGGGAAGAACACCGGUGGCGAAGGCGGCCAACUGGACCACAACUGGCGCUGAGGCGCGAAAGCGUGGGGAGCAAACAGG
rnacentral:rRNA from 1 species